CCCAGCGUCCGAUCCGAUGAAACAAUUUUCCGACGCUUCGCCUGUGACGGAGACCUAAUUGUCGCGUUCCAAGAAUCUCCGACGGACCUUCAUCUCUCUAGGGGCUUUUAAUGAAGAUGGAUGAGGGCUAAGGAAUUCGCAAUAUCGCGUUUCAUCCCUUCACUUUGGAGUAUAUUCAUGCGUUUUCUUGGAAGAAGAAUCUCUCGUAAGGAGAAUUAUUUAGCGAGUGGAGAAAACGAACUGCUAGCUGGAGAUGAUGGAGAACUAGCUGGUGUUUAUUCUGGAGAAGAUGAUGGAGAUAAUUCUCGCAUGAAGACGUGGCGGACUCUACUGUUGAACAGUUUCUCGAGAUCUUAAACAACUCGUCAAAGGAAGAACUAGCUAAGCUGAAAAUGUUAAAAAAAACACAAGUGCAGAAGAUAAUCGACCAUCGCCAAAAAGGACCAGUAACAAAGACUUCACCUUUCUCAUUCCCGCAGUUGAAGGUCUUUAUAUUGAAGAAUUUGAAGCAUUCCAUGCGAUAAGAUGAAAAAGAAACUGGUUGUCAGCGGGCUAACAAAGUCUAGAGAGAUAUUUGAUCAUACAUUAAAAUUACUAAGAUUAUGGUAUGGUACUAAUUGUCUUGUAUGUAUUCUCUACAUUUUAUUUCCAGUUAUCUAUUAUAACUGUUAAGUCCA